CUCUCCAAAUUGCUCCUGGGGAUAACAUCACUAUUGUAAAACCUAAGGUCAGUGCUUGAGAUAUUUUACAGACCCUUCUCUCUCCAUGAAUCAGCUGACACCACCCAGACCAGUAAUGUGUCUCAACCAGUUCUGCCAUCCCACCCAGGAAGAGAAGACACCAAGAAGACCUCACUUGGACCCCCAUCUCCAAGCUGACCAAUUAGCACUCCCCACUUCCCGAGUCUCUAACCGCCAAAUUAUCUUUAAAAACUCCGAUCCCGAAAUGCUCGAUUUGAUAAUAAUUUUGAGUAAUAAUUUUUUGAGUAAUAAUUUGAGACUGAUUUGAGUAAUAAUAAAACUCCAACCUCCCGCACAGCCGACUCUGCGUGAAUUACUCUUUCUCAUUGCAAUUCCCCUGUCUUGAUAAAUCGGGUCUGUCUAGGCAGGGGCAAGGCGAACCCGUGGGGUGGUUACAAAACAACUUGAACCUUUUGGCUUUUGAAGCAUAUGUGAGGGUUUGCGUGGGGCUCCUUACUGGAGAACGUGCCACUUCCCUUGGACUAGAACCUCACUAGCUCGGUUUUCAAAACCUCCUGCAAAGGCUGUGUAUGCUAAAGGAUGACAUCUAUCUUGAAAUGCAAACGGUUCGCAUCAGUUCAAGGCUUCACAAACUACCACAGCUCCCCACUGGCUUCAGAAAAGUUCAGAACUAUGUGGAUAUUUGUAAUGCCGCUGCUUCCCACCCCUGCUCCCCCGCUCCAAGCUCCACCUCAUUACUCAGGGCUAAAAACAAAGUAAGUUAAUAUUAUAACAUACCCCUCCAUUUCACUUCCUCAGCUCCUCACUACUGUUCCCCUAGUCCUCCCUAUCCCAUUCCCUCUGUCUCCUUCAUUUCCUCAGCUAGUUAACUUCAGUGCCUUUUCUAAGAUAAAGGGGGUAUGACCUUUAUCUUAGGAUUCAGGAUUAAAGCCCUUUCCACCAUUGAAAGGUUAUUAAAUUCUGCUCCUCUCCCCUCCUGCAGCACCUAGUAAUUAGCGCAGUCUGUCUCACAGAGGGUGCUUGGUAAAUGAAUGAAAAAACCCAACACACACCCUGGAAACAGGUGUGCACGUACAACUCAAUCCACGCAUGCGCGGAGGCAGAGCCCCAGGACCGCGAGACUAUCCGCACAGCUUCUCUUUAGGCCCCACAGCCAGAACUCCAAAUUGCCUAGUAUCAACCCAUGCACUCUCUAAUCCGGCGCCACACGCCGGGCCUUCCCCACCAUCUCAUCUGCUUGGGAACGUAAAGGGUUCUGUGGGGCAGCUGCAGCUUUUGUGCCCAUCUGUCUCCAGAGCUUCCCAUCUCUGGAACGCGGGAGGGAACAGAGCUCUAGCCUGAAUAACUGAGCCCGGCCCGGCAGUUCCCGAGAUUCACCAGAGAAUAAGCCUGAUGGGAAGUCUGGAGAUAACAGGACACCCAACCAGCAGGUCCCGGUGUGGUUCCGCUCCUGUGUUCUCAUUAUUCAGCUCCCACUUAUGAAUUUUGGAAGAACUGACAUCUUGACAAUAUUGAGUCUUCCUACUCACAAACAUGGAACAUCUUUACUUAGUUCUUUUGUGAUGUCUUUCAUCAGGAAUUCACAAGCCCAGACAGAAAUCAAGAAGAGAGAAAGUAGCUGCACAUCAUGAUGAAAGGAAUUUUUACGGAAAAUGAAGGAAUUAUUAAUGGCCAUCUUUGCAGAGAAUCUUCGACGGGCACUGAGAUGGUUAAUUUUGUGUGUGAACUUGACUAAGCACAGGAUGCUCAAAUAGCUGGGACCUCCUGAUUCUUAGGCCUUCAGACACAGACUGGAAUCUACAGCAUUGGCUCUCGGGCUAUCCAACCUUCAGACUACAUGACCAGCUUUCCUGGGUCUCCAGUUUGCAAUCAACCUACCCUGGAACUUUUCAGCCUCCAUCAUUGCCUGAGCCAAUACUUUAUAAUAAAUAUGUAUCUUCUUCUUGGUGCUGUUUCUCUAGAGAACCCUAACUAGCAUAGGCACCAAACACCCAUUUUAAUAAUCCACUUGUCUUCAGAUCACAGCAAUAUCUACUCAAGAGAUACAGACUCCAUUGAUUUCUGGCCACAGGAGGGCAGAAGAGUCAAUAGGUAUUCUUUGGCCUUCCUCCCAGGAGGGAGGUGUCAAAGAAAUUCAGAGUGAUCUGUACGGCCCUAUCUGAUCUUUGGAAUCAUUUAUUUCUACAGGCUGUUUGCUUUUAAGGUAUCAAUAGCUGUCAAAAUCCCUCUUCUUUGCCAUCAUAAAAUCCCAAACUAGGGUUGAAAUAUUAGCAAAGAGAGUAUAUGUUUAAGAAAUUGUUUCUGAUACUGAUGACCCUGUUGUUAUAUAUCCCAAGUGAUACACAAAGAACUGAUUUUCAAGAUGUGACAACAUUUAGGUCUCACUUAUCAGUGAAGCUCUCCUUAGGACCAUACUGUAUGGACUAACACUUUAUUAUUAGAAGGAGAAAUGGUAGCAGUGAGAAUUUCUUCAUAUUUGUAAUUUUUUAAAAUUUCAACCAUGCAUAUUAAAUGUAACUUUAAUCAGAGUUAAAACCAUUUCACAUGAUGAUCUUAAUUUACAAGUCAACAAAACUACAAAUAUGAAGGAAUAUUUGCAAUAACAGAGAUUAAAAGCAAUUAAUUUAUUUGAAAGUCAAUGAACAAUUUUUUUUUUCUUUUUUGGAGAUGGACUCUCACUCUG